rnacentral:lncRNA from 1 species
CCACUAAGUAAAUAAAUAAAUAAAGAGAUAAUUGCUUAUAUACUCCUAAAAAGUUUACGACUUUCUAAUUUACCCCUCUUAAAAGGCAAAUAUUAAAAAUACUCUUUUUACGUUCCAACCUAUUUCAAAUAUAUCCCUAGAGUUAAAAUUUAUUAAUAAACUCUGUUAUCUGUAUAAAAUUACUAUUUUGCCCUUUCAAAUAUACCCUUCCAUCAUCACCGACUUUUCUUAUUUGCCCUUAAGUCAGGGGCACAAAAAGUAUUUUGACUUUUGAUCUUUUCAAAUAUACCCUUUUACCGUCACCAAUAUUUCUUAUUUACUCUUAAGUUAAGGACAAAAUUGGCAUUUUAUUUUUUUUUUAACUGUGAUAGAUAUUUAACUCACGUUUAACCCAAGUUAACUUAACAAGGGAUAACUGCGGGAUAUUUUGCAAUAACGGUGGAACAUAUGAGGGGUAUUUUAGAAAAAAAAAAAAAAGUAGAAAUAAAUCGGAUAUUUUCAAACGUAUGAAGGGUAUAUAGGCAAUUAUCCCAUAAAUAAAUAAAUAUAUAGUAUAUAGUUUUAUAUGUUUAUUCCUAAAAAAAUUUACUUAAAGACAUACUUACAA